ACGGAAUUUUAAACAAUGAUGCUCAAGAUCAUACUUCAAGUUGCAAUAGUUGUUAUAUCUGUUGGCGCACGCUCGGAAGUUACAGCCGGUACAAACACAAUCACCAACAUUCGACCACCAAUGGCCAAAUGUUCUGCCCUAUCAUGCGAGGUGUCAGCCACUGUUCAAUCCGAAUAUGACGUGAAAGAUCAAUGGGUGAUAUUCAAAAACAAUACUGCAAUGAGAAUUACAGACUGGAACACCGACAAAAAUAAAUACACAGGUGCGAAAAGCGUUUAUCCCGAAAACUGUAAAUCACAAUGUAAUUAUACAGUGACAUUGGUGAUCCAGAGACCAGACCAAUUCAAAGACUAUGGAUUCUAUCAACUUAUUUUAAAAUCUUACGAUUCUCAAAGAAACCCGUACGAUCAGUUUGUAAUAAAUUUUACCGUGCCAACGACUUAUACAGCUGACAAAGCGAUACCUAAAACUACAACCUUUGAAGACAUUGAAAGAGAUGAUCAAGAACUCCCAUUUACGACGGUUAUAGUCAUUGCCGUGGCAGGAACGUUUGUAGCCGUCUUUAUUUGCCUUACCGUCUGCAUAUUGAUGUUCUGUAGAAAAAAGAAUUCAAAGAACAAAAAGCCGCAUAAACGGAGAAACAGACCUCACAGUUCCUUGGGUGUCUCUACACAUCUGUACGAUGAAGUGGAGUCCGUUGCGACUAAUGCAUAUUGCGAGCUAAAUGACGAAAGUCGUAAAACGUCAGCUCACCAGUACAUUCAACCUAUUCCAGAAGAAACUCCUAUUUACAAGGCUCCAGAGAUUUUUUCGAACACUGAAUCGCCCACUUCUGGACGAGCUCAGACACAAGAGAGUACCAAGGAUACAAUGGGGUAUUUACAACCUUCGAUAAAGUUUAGACCAGAUAUGAUGAUGAUAAAUGAAUUAUACGAAGAAGCCAAUAAACCAAGAGACAAGAAACCUCUGGAACCAACAUAUAGUAAUGCAGGAAAAUUCCCAGUGUUGCCAAGAAAAGAUUCAAAGACAUUAGUGGAAGACCUUCAGUCAGUUUUAGAAAAAAACGAUAAAGACAAUGACAAUGAAUAUGCCCAACCUUGUCGCCCUUUAAAAACAAAUAUUACGAAUCAGCUAUAUGCAGAAGCAAACAAAUCGGAAACAAAAACAACAGAAGAGCCCACAUACGGAAAUGAACAGAGACCGCCACUGUUACCAAAGAAAGUGUCGAGAACAGUGACGGUGGACGGGAACCCUUGUGUAAAGGAAUCCUUGCUUUUAAAAUCUGACACACCAAUUGUUCCUCCAAAACCAUUCAGCAGGAAUAUAACAAACCAACUUUAUGAUGAAAGAGAAAAUUUGUACUCACAGAAAAAACAGCUGACGGCCACAUACAGUAAUCCUCCAGCUAUAAAACUUCCAACUAGAAAAUUUUCACGAUCACGAUCGGACGAUUCAGAGUUGUCGCACGUGCAUUCAUACUGACCACAUCUUUACAAGCUAGUGAACUCUAGGAUUAUUUGGUUUAUGACCUUUAUAUAACAGAGACAGCUAACACAGACCAGGGUAUAGUUAUAUACAAUGUAUAUAGGGAUAUGAUUUAAUUGUUUGAUUGUUGUUUUUUUAAAAAAAUGGAAUUGUAAUGUCGAUGUUUAUGCAAUGUUAUACAAGAUAAUAAAAUAAAUAUAUGAAAAAUAAUCGACUUGAAUUUAUUCAUGAAACCUGUACAGUAUCAAAUAUGCAACAUACAUGUAUUAUAUCACUCAUUACAUUGAAAGAUUCUGCAUGUAUAAAUAGGAAAAUGAACAAUCAUAAUAAAUAAACAAACAAUUUUAUGUAACAAUGAAAUAUAAUUCUAAUUUACAAUAUUCUUGUUGAAUACAAAUAAAACAACUAUUUCAAUAAAUAUCUUCAAAACUUGAACAACUUUUCUUUUAAUGUCAAGCAGAUUUUCCAACAAUUUGUAGAUGAAUAAUUUAUUAAACUGUGAUUUGCAUGAUUAGGAUGUAAUUGUUCCUCAAAGAUCUAUAUCACCGGACAUGGGUUAAUUAUUUGAACAAGUAUAUUCAA